CAAAAUCAAUGAAAGAAAUACAAGCAGAUUCGUCUCCAGCUACUAGAAUUUGCUCCGUCAAGUCAUCUUAUACAAUGAAAAGACACUCACUGGCGAUGAAUCAUGGUGGAACUGGAGGAAGCCGGAGAAAGAACAAUGGUCUAGAUGGCAAAGAAGACGUCCUGAUGUCAAAACGGCUUUUCUCAAGGCAAUGGCAGAAACAGGACAAGUUAAGCUCUAUGGGAAAGAAUCAACACAUAGAGCUUAAAAUAUUUUUGUAGGUUUGUUGCAGGUUUUUCUCAAGGCAAUGGAAUUAUGUAAAAUAUUUUUGGUAGGUAGGAGAAUGCAUUGGAAUGUGGUGGAGACCCAACUUUGAGACUUUGAUGUAUCCGCCCAAUGUGAAACAUCCAAAGGAAUGCUCAAAGCUUUUUCUUGUUAGAAUACCGGUACAUCAGCAGUUUGUCGUCCCAAAAAACUUCAAACUCCUCGCUGUUCCGUUGUGCCAACUUCAUGAAAA